rnacentral:rRNA from 1 species
UUUUCAAGGUGCUGCAUGGUUGUCGUCAGCUCGUGCCGUGAGGUGUUAGGUUAAGUCCUGCAACGAGCGCAACCCCUGUCACUAGUUGCUAACAUUAAGUUGAGGACUCUAGUGAGACUGCCUACGCAAGUAGAGAGGAAGGUGGGGAUGACGUCAAAUCAUCACGGCCCUUACGUCUUGGGCCACACACGUGCUACAAUGGCCGGUACAGAGGGCAGCUACCUAGUGAUAGGAUGCAAAUCUCGAAAGCCGGUCUCAGUUCGGAUUGGAGUCUGCAACUCGACUCUAUGAAGCUGGAAUCGCUAGUAAUCGCGCAUCAGCCAUGGCGCGGUGAAUACGUUCCCGGGCCUUGUACACACCGCCCGUCAAGCCAUGGAAGCUGGGGGUACCUGAAGUCGGUGACCGUAAAAGGAGCUGCCUAGGGUAAAACUAGUAACUAGGGCUAAGUCGUAACAAGGUAGCCGUACCGGAAGGUGCGGCUGGAACAUCUCAUUUUAGA